rnacentral:tRNA from 1 species
UUGAGUGUAGUCAAAAAUGAUGGUUUAUUUACAGUAAACAGGACCGUAGGGCGUUCAAA